ACUCCAUCAAUCAAGAGGAACUUAAUCUAGGGAGGCAUGUAGAAGAGCCUAUUUACAUCAUUAAGUUGCCAGUUUUGUGUAUAUACAUAUGCAGAUAUGCAUGCAUAGUAUACCAUAAGGCAGCUUAGCUGAUUGUAGACCUUAAAGGUUCUUCUGCUCACUGGGUCAGAAGCAUCCGAUUUCCUGUCAUCAGUUGCAGUUCAGCCAUGUUAAUACUAAAAGUAUAAGAGUAUCAUAAUCCCAGAGUGAUAUAAAGACCUUUCCAAGGAAGAUGAGAUACCCGGAGGUUGUGAAGAAGUCUGAAGGAUUUGACCACGUUCAAAUGAAAAGCUUCAGUUCAGCAAAACACCAGAAGCAAAUUCAAAAGAUAAAAUACACUCUGGAGAAGCCCAUUCUCUCCAGACAUCUGACAGUUCACAAAGAGCAACUGCAGUCCAACUUAAAACGUGGUAGGAAAAUGGGCAGCGUGCACAGAAGCAAUACAUAAAAAGAAAUAGGAACGCCCAAUUAACCAGCAAAAGCCUGCUCAUUCCUAAUGAGGGAAGAUAAAAGCUUAGUAAAGAUUAAAAUUUAUUGAAGAUAAAAAUGGACACUUCUGGCCAUAUGUAAAAGCAUUGUUGGUAAGAGAGUAGGGUAAUUGACUUGCUCCUGGGAAAUAAUAGGCAUUCAAACCACCUCUAUAAGUGAAUCCACUGGGAGUAUCCACUAGGAAUAGUAAACAACUGCCAAUACCCAAGUUUGUGGUCCAGAACUUGAGCAGUGAUCUAACAAAGUAGAGGCUCCCCCUGUGUCAUGGGCCCCACCUCUUAAGCAAAGAAGAAAGCCUUAUUUUGGUAACUCACCCAAAUAACAGAACCUUUUUUUGAUAAUCUUAUAGCAUUUAUUUGGUUAAGUCUGAGGCAGAAUUUUUUUCUCCUUUGUAUCUUUUUUUUUUUUAAAUCCUUGAAGUUUAUUAUCAAACUACGUCUUGAUGUUUCUUCAGCAUGUGAAUAGGCCUUUCUAUUCCCAAUUAAGUGUUUCUUUCCUUUAAUUCAGUAAUCUACUAAUCAUGUAUUUUAAUUUCUUUUUCUGUCAUCCCUCCCCACGCCAUAAGCUACCAGUCACUGUACAUGUUGGAGCUCUCCUUAUUGUGCCAAAGAUCUCUAAUGUCAUGUCUUUAGUCAUUAUUUUGUGUCAGAAAUUUUUGUUCUUCCAGGGUCAUCUGGCAAUGUCUAGAGACAUGCUACUGGCACCUAUAGAAAUGCUAGUGACUUCUAAUGGGUAGAGGCUAAAAGUGCUGCUAAACAUCCUACAAUGCCCAGGACAGCCACUGCCACAACAAAGAAUUAUCCAGUCCACAAUGCCCAUAGUGCUGAGGAGGAGAAACCCUGUCCUAGGGUCAAGGUUGGAUGCUGACAAGACUAAUUUCAAGUGAUUUCAAAUGAUUGUGGGGAAAAUACACAGAAGUUGACAGGAGCAAUAUGUAGAUAUUUCCUCCUGUAAAUUAUAUUUCCCUAAUGCUAAUGCUAGAGCAUUUGGAAGCAUGUGUAUAAAUAUUUGAAGCACAAAACCAGAGAGAGGCCCUUAUGUAUUUAGCUUCUAGUUUUAAAUAAUAGAUACUACAAUAAACCUUGAUUAAACCUUGA